ACGGGAACGGGAACGGGAACGGGAACGGGAACGGGAACGGGAACGGGAACGGGAACGGGAACGGGGAGAGCGGCUCGGCACGGACACACGGACACGGGGAUGGACAGACACGGACACAGGGACACGAACACAGGGACACGGACAUACGGACAGACAGACACGGACACACAGCCGCACAGUGACAGGGUUCUCUCCCGCCACGCCCCUGGGGAUAAGGGAGGAGGUGCCUUCCUUCAGGACUGGGUCAGCCUGCCUCGAUGGUAAAGAACCCAGCAAUUAACAGCCAUAGCCAUGUAAGAUGGAAAAAUGGGAGCAAUUUGGAGAGUUAAAUGCUGAUUUAUUCUAAAGGAGGAACAUAAUUAAACGUUCUCUGCAGUCAAGAAGAAACUCUCUUAUUGAAAUCUCGAAUUCAGUUGUGGAGCCGGGUUUCAGAAGAGCUUACUCAUGAUGGUACUAACACGGUCUCUGACAGACCAGUUUAAUUUAUUGAACCUGUUUUCAGGUUUUGCCUGCUGGGCUGGCCAUGUAGUCUGUUCUCAACAAGUUUUGUUCUCGAGGACCAGUUCAUAAGUAACAUAAAUAACAUAUAAGUAACAUAUAAGUAACAUAUAAGUUCAUAAGUAACACAUUUGAUUAGUGCAAUAGUUAUUGUGUUUCAGUUAAUUUUGUCAUUAAAUGUGACCUCUCAGGUUUCUGUAUCAGCAGCCCUCUUGAAUUCUGCCAUUUGGCUCUGCUUUGUGUACACUGUAGGAUUAAGCAUUUUGCUACCAGCUCUAUAUGGUUUCUCACAAAACACCCUGGAAGUGAUUGCUCACUGAAGAGGAACUGCAAACCAAGCUCUGGGGGCUGCACCUGCUCACAGGCAGGCUGUGGACUGUCACAUCAUAAUCCCCAAGAAAUCAGAUGCAAUAUUCUUACAAGCAGGUCAUGCAGAGCAGAAACUUUUUUUUUUUUCCUGUGGUUCCUUAGAGUGACUAAAGGACUACUUUGCUCUUGAAGAGACGUGUUCAGAAGAAGGCACACACUUUGUAUGGGGAAAUUUUCUUUUUUAAUUUACAGCAGAAAGAAUAUAAAGCAUUCAGAAAACAUUUUCCAUAUUUUAAGGGCAAUUCAAAACAUUUUGCAUGGUUCCAGCAGCUGAGUUCUUCAACAGAUCCAUUGAUUCAGUGAUGCUUUACAUGCACAGUUACAAAAAUAAAACUUACAAAAGAGAAGACAUCUAUACUAGUUUUACAUGCAAGUCUUGGGGACCCCCCAUUGGGCACCAGCUAUUGUGUGGAACUGCCAUAAGCGUGCAACCAGAGAGGGGGUUCAUGUUAUAUUCUGUAUUUCUUUCACACAGUAUUACUGCUGUCGAAUGUGUUUCACAAAGGAGCGAUUCUAUUCUCAGAAGACAGAAGAUCUGGCUCCUGGCACUUGGGAAUUUGAAUUUUUCCUAGAAAGCUGCACUUACUUAUCUUAGGUGAAAAUGUUAAGUUCCACAACCAAGAAGAGGGUUCGAAGAAUCACUUCACUGGGGGGAGUGCUGCUCCCUGCCCAGUGACACACUGAAGGGUUUCUGCCCGACACAACAAAGCACUUGGGAGCUGGGCUGGCUCCAAGCAUGCCAGGAGUCCUGGAGCUGUGCUGCAGAACUGCCUGCAAGCUCCACAGCCAGCACAGCCUUAAACGUUUGGCUGAAGCAGGAUCUAGGUUAGUAGAUACACCACCAGGCCCAUGGAUCUGGAAGAGUAAUUUGAAAUAGCUCUGUAUAUUACUGAAUGGUUUUCUGUAAAGACAAGGAGUUAAAACAUUUCCACUGAGGUCACUACUCUUGUUAGGAACAGAUCAAUUCUAUAUUGUCACAUUUUGGUUAAUGGGUGCAAUAUUUCAGUUUCAAAAUGUCAAGAGUUCUUCCAGUACUAAUACAGAGCAUUUCCAAUUCAUCCAAAGGAGAUUCUUCAGCGUCUCCAGUUCUGUUUUGGCAUGAGAGGAAAAUUUAAUGGUUAAGGUUCCAAUUGCAGACAGUAAAUCAGGCUUUGAGGCUGCCCACAGGCACAGUGUGAGCGCCAGGCCAUUUGUUUUGCUUUUUUUCCCUUUUUUUAAAAUUGAAUCAGGUCAUAAAGCAGCAGUUCAGAAAUGUACAAGAGAAUUCUGAUAAUGAGCUAUAGCACAUCUACUGUAAUUCAAUGCUGGCAGUGAAAAGAAGUAA